UACGUAGGGGGCAAGCGUUGUCCGGAUUUAUUGGGCGUAAAGAGCGUGUAGGCGGCCAGAUAGGUCUGGUGUGAAAACUCGAGGCUUAACCUCGAGAUGUCAUCGGAAACCAUUUGGCUAGAGUCCGGAAGAGGAGAGUGGAAUUCCUGGUGUAGCGGUGAAAUGCGCAGAUAUCAGGAAGAACACCAAUGGCGAAAGCAGCUCUCUGGGACGGUACUGACGCUGAGACGCGAAAGCGUGGGGAGCGAACAGG
rnacentral:rRNA from 1 species